GGUUAAGCGACUAAGCGUACACGGUGGAUGCCCUGGCAGUCAGAGGCGAUGAAGGRCGUGCUAAUCUGCGAUAAGCGCCGGUAAGGUGAUAUGAACCGUUAUAACCGGCGAUWYCCGAAUGGGGAAACCCAGUGUGAYUCGUCACACUAUCAUUAACUGAAUCCAUAGGUUAAUGAGGCGAACCGGGGGAACUGAAACAUCUAAGUACCCCGAGGAAAAGAAAUCAACCGAGAUUCCCCCAGUAGCGGCGAGCGAACGGGGAGGAGCCCAGAGCCUGAAUCAGCAUGUGUGUUAGUGGAAGCGUCUGGAAAGGCGCGCGAUACAGGGUGACAGCCCCGUACACAAAAGCGCAUGUGCUGUGAGCUCGAUGAGUAGGGCGGGACACGU
rnacentral:rRNA from 1 species